rnacentral:tRNA from 1 species
GUCGAUAUAGCUUAGUAGGUUAGAGCAGCGCAUUCGUAAUGCGAAGAUCAUAGGUUCAAUUCCUAUUAUCGACA